rnacentral:rRNA from 1 species
GGCUCAACCAANGUAUGCUUUGGAAACUGUUAGACUUGAGUGCAGAAGGGGAGAGUGGAAUUCCAUGUGUAGCGGUGAAAUGCGUAGAUAUAUGGAGGAACACCGGUGGCGAAAGCGGCUCUCUGGUCUGUCACUGACGCUGAGGCUNGAAAGCGUGGGUAGCGAACAGGAUUAGAUACCCUGGUAGUCCACGCCGUAAACGCUGAGUGCUAGGUGUUAGGUCCUUUCCGGGACUUAGUGCCGACGCUAACGCAUUAAGCACUCCGCCUGGGGAGUACGACCGCAAGGUUGAAACUCAAAGGAAUUGACGGGGGCCCGCACAAGCGGUGGAGCAUGUGGUUUAAUUCGAAGCAACGCGAAGAACCUUACCAGGUCUUGACAUCCCGAUGCCCGCUCUAGAGAUAGAGUUUUUCUUCGGAACAUCGGAGACAGGUGGUGCAUGGUUGUCGUCAGCUCGUGUCGUGAGAUGUUGGGUUAAGUCCCGCAACGAGCGCAACCCUUAUUGUUAGUUGCCAUCAUAAGUUGGGCACUCUAGCGAGACUGCCGGUAAUAAACCGGAGGAAGGUGGGGAUGACGUCAAAUCAUCAUGCCCCUUAUGACCUGGGCUACACACGUGCUACAAUGGUUGGUACAACGAGUCGCAAGCCGGUGACGGCAAGCUAAUCUCUGAAAGCCAAUCUCAGUUCGGAUUGUAGGCUGCAACUCGCCUACAUGAAGUCGGAAUCGCUAGUAAUCGCGGAUCAGCACGCCGCGGUGAAUACGUUCCCGGGCCUUGUACACACCGCCCGUCACACCACGAGAGUUUGUAACACCCAAAGUCGGUGAGGUAACCAUUUAUGGGGCCAGCCGCCUAAGGUGGGANGGA